rnacentral:rRNA from 2 species
UUCCGGUUGAUCCUGCCGGAGGCUACUGCUAUCGGGGUCCGACUAAGCCAUGCGAGUUGAGAGGGGUAAGCCCUCGGCAUAUUGCUCAGUAACACGCGGAUAACCUGCCCUUGGGUUUGGGAUAACCCCGGGAAACUGGGACUAAUACCGGAUAGAUCAAAGAAACUGGAAUGUUCUCUGAUCGAAAGCUCCGGCGCCCAAGGAUGGGUCUGCGGCCUAUCAGGUAGUAGUGGGUGUAACGUACCUACUAGCCUACGACGGGUAAGGGUUGUGAGAGCAAGAGCCCUGAGAUGGAUUCUGAGACAUGAAUCCAGGCCCUACGGGGUGCAGCAGGCGCGAAAACUUUACACUGCGGGAAACCGCGAUAAGGGGACCCCGAGUGCCAGCACCUAGUGCUGGCUGUCCAGCUGUUCAAAUAACAGUUGUUAGCAAGGGCCGGGCAAGACCGGUGCCAGCCGCCGCGGUAACACCGGCGGCCCGAGUGGUAGCCGUUAUUAUUGGGUUUAAAGGGUCCGUAGCCGGCCUAUUAAGUCUCUUGGGAAAUCUGGCGACUCAAUCGUCAGGCGUUCAAGAGAUACUGGUAGGCUUGGGACCGGGAGAGGUGGGAGGUACUCCAGGGGUAGGGGUGAAAUCUCGUAAUCCUUGGGGGACCACCGAUGGCGAAGGCAUCCCACCAGAACGGGUCCGACGGUGAGGGACGAAAGCUGGGGGCACGAACCGGAUUAGAUACCCGGGUAGUCCCAGCCGUAAACGAUGCUCGCUAGGUGUCAGGUGCGGUGCGACCGCAUCUGGUGCCGCAGUGAAAACUUGAAGCGAGUCACCUGGGAAGUACGGUCGCAAGGCUGAAACUUAAAGGAAUUGGCGGGGGAGCACUACAACGGGUGGAGCCUGCGGUUCAAUUGGAUUCAACGCCGGA